UACAGAGGGUGCGAGCGUUAAUCGGAUUUACUGGGCGUAAAGCGUGCGUAGGCGGCUUUUUAAGUCGGAUGUGAAAUCCCCGAGCUUAACUUGGGAAUUGCAUUCGAUACUGGGAAGCUAGAGUAUGGGAGAGGAUGGUAGAAUUCCAGGUGUAGCGGUGAAAUGCAUAGAUACCGCCAAGAACCCCGAUUGCGAAGGCAGCUCGCUUGGCCUUAACUGACGCUGAUGGACGAAAGCGUAGGUAGCGAACAGG
rnacentral:misc_RNA from 1 species